CUUACUUUAUUUCAGGUGGUCUGCAGAGACCUCGGUGAGAGGGAGACAUCUGAAUAGAGAGCUGAAGGAAAUGAAACAACAAGCCAAGAGGAUACAGGAAAGAGCAUUCCAGCAGCAAGAACAGCAAGAGCAACGGCCUUGUGGCACAAACCUGCCUGAAGUGUUCUAAGAAUAGCCAAGUGCCCGUGGGGGAUGCCAGCUUCCAUGCUGUGAGGACAUUCAAGAGCCCUACGGAGAAGUCCACAUGGUGAGCAACUGAGGCCUCCCGCCAACAGCCAGUAAGGAACUGAAGCCUCCUCAGCCACCUUAGAGGCAGGUCUUCCAUCCCAGUGAAGCAGAGGACUGCAGCUGGUGUCUUGAUUGCAACCUUGUGAGAGACCCCUAGCCAGAACCACUCAGCUAAAGAUGCUCCUGAAUUCCUGACCCACAAAAACCAUGAGAUAAUAAAUGGUUCAACUUG